rnacentral:rRNA from 1 species
GCUUACGGCCAUACCACCCUGAACACGCCCGAUCUCGUCUGAUCUCGGAAGCUAAGCAGGGUCGGCUGGUCAGUACUUGGAUGGGAGACCGCCUGGGAAUACCAGUGCUGUAAGCU